UACGGAGGGAGCUAGCGUUGUUCGGAAUUACUGGGCGUAAAGCGCACGUAGGCGGCUACUCAAGUCAGAGGUGAAAGCCCAGGGCUCAACCUUGGAACUGCCUUUGAAACUAGGUAGCUAGAAUUCUGGAGAGGUCAGUGGAAUUCCGAGUGUAGAGGUGAAAUUCGUAGAUAUUCGAAAGAACACCAGUGGCGAAGGCGACUGACUGGACAGAUAUUGACGCUGAGGUGCGAAAGCGUGGGGAGCAAACAGG
rnacentral:rRNA from 1 species